UUUUGAACAAGCUUGUCCUUUGCCUUAUGCUGGAACAAGGCACCUUCUAUUCCCCAUGGGCACCAAGAAUGCGAAAACAUUGAUGAUUCGAGCAAAUGUAAGUUCAGGCUUCAAGAUUGAGCCGAGCGCCCUACCAGCAGAUCUGGAUAAUGCAUACAAGAAUGAGAAAGCAUAUCAGCGAUUGGAUAUUUCUGGCCCUACAGUUAACCCUUUUGUUUUUUCCUGUACGGCGAGGGCGAGAUAAAAGAUAUGCUUUCUGUUUGUGCUGAGCAUGGAGCUUGGGUAGUGAUAGACACCUUCUCUGGUCUGGAGUUCCACAACAGAGAUGGCUGGAUUUUGCGGAACGGGUAAUUUUUUUAUUAUAGCAUUUGCUUAUAUGACCUUUCCUUGGUCAAACAUAUUUCACAAGUAAUUUGUUUUCUUCAAAAAGGAGGAUAUUUUCACAAGCCCAAACCGACCACAUAGCACUUUGAAAUGCACUUAUAGGAAGUUGUUGGUUUUGAAAAACAAGAGGGAUCAACAUUUCUCUAAUCUCAUCACGCCAACAAACUGACGAAGACACUCGAGAGCUGUGGUUGGGAUGUCGCCAGGUACCACUGUGGGAUGUCGCCAGGUACCACUGUGACACGCGUACAUCGGCAAAUCGUUCAGGGUGGAUGAUUUUGAAGGCGAGCUCGACGGCUGCAAUAUCAGGGAAGCCCUACUGAACUACUGCAGGUUCAGCUUACCAUGUAGUAUUUUCUUUACAACAAGGCCUCACACGAGCAAAACUGUCAUCUUGUUGUUUAGUUUUGGCCCGGGACUGCAAUUUUUUCCCUUAUUGCAUUCUUUAGUGCAUAAAAUAAAAUAUAUAAUGUGCAUAAAAGCCGAAAACAACCAUUACGAUCAUAGUAGGCGAACUGAAAUUGUAGGGAUAUAAAGCAGUACCUGAACAUACAAAAGCUGGCCACAACUCUGUCUUCAAUUCCAUCUUGUUUCCAGAUUUCAGGAGUAGAUCAUCACCACCAUUACAGAUCAGGCUCUUUGUCAGUGCAAAUAACAGACUAACACCACAAGGACUUCAUUAACCUUAGCCACUUCUUAUGGGUACAUGAGAACUAAAAAAAUUCAUCUGUUAAAAUUUGUUUUUUUGACUUUUUGGACUAAUUCAUGUGCAGAAUUUAUAUUUUCAAUUAGACUGAUUUAUUGUAGUUUUAUCAACGACUAUAGUAUAUUAAGAUGUGGGCACUAUAUCGAAAGUGUUGUUCUACACCCGAGGUCAUGUGAGCUUGGUUGAACAGUAAAAUAAAUAAAAAAUGGAAAAACAAUUCAAAAAAUGUGAUUUCUUUCCGUGUGAGACACUGAAAAAAUGUUUAUUAGCUUGCAAAAUUUCAAUACUAUCUUUCUUGACUGAUUGUUUGUGGUCUGCCAUGAGCCCACGACGUAGCCAUCUGCAUCUGCCUCGCCUUGAGGCCACAGCAGCACCCCUGCCCUUCUGCUCCUGCUGGCGACCGCAACCCUCUGGCGGCAGCAACACCGCUCUCGUGUGCUGGCCUUGCUGUCUCAUCUCCUCUCUCUCUCAUGUUUGGGUAUGAUGUUAGCGUUAUGUGUGUGUGGAUGGAUAUGAUGCUACCAUGGUGUGUGUAAAAAUCUAUUUUUGGUUUAUUUCUCUUUGGAGUAUUGCUGUUGGAGAUGAGCUUAAGAGGCGAAAGAGUAAAGAUCUGGUAAGCUGUUUGUAUUGCUUCAGGAGAAUCUUUUAUCACUGUUUUUGGGACUGUAUUUAUGUCAAAGAGGCAUGUAGGGAGCUGGAACAAAUUUGUUACUUCUCAUGGCCACUUUUUUGAACAUGAUUAUUGAGCUUGA